GAGAUUUUAGUUGUGAAAAAGGUCCCUUUUAGUCAAUGACUAAAUUAAUUACAUAACAAAUAGUAAAAAUAGAUUAGGAUGAGAGAAAGAGGAGAGGGAAGGGUUUGGUCAUGUUUCAUUUUCCAUUAAAUAGAAGCAAAUCAUACUCCAAAAAUCUUCACUCUGCUGCAAACUUUUAUUCCUCUUUUCUCCCAAGAAAUCUCUAAACAAUUCACUAAAAUUUCCCCUUCAUCUUUAAAGUUUUAAGAGAUCAUUUUUCCUUUUUCCUUAAAAAACAACACAAAACACAAACUCACCAAAACUGUUUCUGUAGCUAGUCUCUCUGUUUUCUUUCCUUCUUUCUAGGUUGUCCUCAUUAUCUAGCUUUUUCAGAAAAUUCUAGGACAAGAAUGUGGUGGUGGUCAUCAUCAUCGACGAAAGUACGAUCAAAUCUAGAGAGGUUUCUUAGAGGAAUCACUCCAAAGCCUCCUUCUUCUUCUAUGUCAAAGAGCUGCGAGAAUGACUUGAACAGUUUAUGGACUCAACAUAGCAAAGAUGAGACUGAAUAUUUCAGGCUCAGUGAACUUUGGGACUGUUUUGAUGAGCUAAGCGCGUAUGGACUUGGAUCAAAGGUUGAGUUAAACAAUGGUGAAUCCGUUACGCAGUACUAUGUUCCAUAUCUAUCAGCCAUUCAACUCUAUACUAGCAAAUCUCCAGCCUUUUCCAGGAACCAGAGUGAUGUGGUUGAUUUUGAGAGUGAAUGCUGGAGUGAUGAUAGUGAGAUCGAGAAGUUAUCAAGGUCAACGAGUAGUGGUUCUAGCAAGAUAUGGGAUUCUGUUUCGGAUGACUCGGCUUGUGACACUCCUUCAAUGCGAGAUAAGCUCGGUUCCAUUGAGUUUCAGUACUUUGAGUCAGCUAAACCGCACUUGCGAGUUCCUCUUACCACCAAGGUUACUGAAUUGGCUGAGAAGUAUCCGAGACUUUUGACGCUAAGGAGUGUUGAUUUGUCUCCAGCGAGCUGGAUGGCCAUUGCUUGGUAUCCGAUAUACCAUAUUCCAUAUGGGAAGACAGAUAAAGACUUAUCAACGUGUUUCUUGAGUUAUCAUACGUUAUCUUCGGCCUUGCAAGGUACUUUGGUAGAGGGAGAGGAUGAGAACAACAAAACCAUGGAAGAAGAAACAUUGUGGUGUGAUGAUGAGCCAGUGGUGACCAAGAGAUUCCCUUUGGCUCCUUUUGGUUUAGUUACGUACAAAAUGCAAGGAGGUUUGUGGGGGAAACGAGAAUCUGGUGAUCAAGAGCGGUUAGUUUAUCUUGGAAGAGCAGCGGAGUCAUGGCUGAAACAGCUAAAUGUUCAUGAUCACCAUGACUACAGCUUUUUCUCUGUGAACAAGAGCUUGUAGAGGUCCAAGUGACAGAACUCUAGUUUUUAGUUGUUUUCUUAGGUACAUAAUGUAGAGGUUUCUCGUCCUUGUGUUGUAGCAUGGUAAAAAAAGAACAUGGGUUUUGUUUUUGAGUUUACAAAUGAUGAGAUAAACAAUGGUCUUUUUAUUUGUUUUGUGAGAGACUAUGGGCCUGACCGGUGUAACCGCAGCUGUUGCGGUUGCGGGAGUUUGGAGAUGCAGGUGGUUGCGGUUUUAAGUAUUUUUAGAGAUUUGUACGACUGGUACAUCGGUUAAAAAUUAGUACGUUUGCAGGACUCUUAUGACUGGUAAACUACCAAAUGCAACAUUUGUUAAAUAAUAAAUUAACAAUAUUUACAUUUUAUAUAAUUAUAAAAAAUAUUAAAAAUCAUAAUAUUAUAAUAAAUAUAAAAUUUUGUCUAUAAAAUCAUACUAUUAAAUUUU